GCUAUGAUAUUUUCGUAGAGAAGGUGUGGAUCUUAUGCGCAUGCACACUGCCAUAAUUUUUUUGCAAAAGUUGACUAAUUUACAUAAGAACGCAAAAUCAGUCUCUGACAUUUGAAUAUAAUUGGCAACACCGAGCAAGGAAUUGCUAUUGGCAGAGAACACUAACAGUCUGUGACAUUGUUGUUUGCAUUUUUGAUGGUUAUGAUUCUCUCAGUCCCUUUUUCGUGUUUUUGUGAAAAACUUGUUUGUGAUCAAAACUCUAAGGAAAAGAAUGUGCCUAUAUACGGUGGUUUCUAUAGGACUCCCACUCACAAACUUGUAUAAUUGGUACAAGUGUGGCAAAUAUGAGGAACUAAUAGACAAACCCGAGUGAUUUAGCAAACUGCUAGGUACACUUAAAUAGCUACAUAGGAAAGAUGUUUGGGUAAUAUGUUUUAGUGUACCAAGAAUUACAAGAAAUGUAAGAAAACAAUUUAGCUACAAGUUUUACUAGAACAAUCACAAGAAAUACUCUUUGAUAAUUACAAAUCCUUGUAAACCUCAAUGUGGGAAAGUUUUCGUUUGUCAUUAUCAUGCUUGGAGAAAACGAAAUUGCCUUUCGGUUGGUCAAAAAUUACAGAUAUUAUUACAGCAGAAACUGGGGAAUUUCCAGAAUCAGUUCAGCUGCACCAGGAAGAAAUUACGUGAUAAAUCUGCAGGAUAUUUUUGGGAAGUUUGAAGACAUUACAGGAAAUCUUUGAGAAUUACCAGGAAUUCUAGGCAACUAUGAAAAAUUUUGGGGUACUUUAUUUGUAGCUCACCUCUCUCCUUAGAGAGGUACUUUUUUGGCAAAGCAACACGAAUACAUUUACUGACAUGACCGUCAGAAUUGAUAAACGUCAAAAUUCAAGACGUGGGAAAUAUCCCCGGAAACAUCCGAUUGCUCCCAAACCCGUGCGGUAAAAUCCCGGAAAUGCCCGAAGUGGCUCGGAUCCGUGGGAAACGAAACUGACAUGGUUAAGUGACGCUUCCCGCACCCUAGAUCGGUUUGUAAUUAAGUAUUUUACAGACAGGAGUAUUUAGUUAAAUGUGACUCGGUAACUCUAAUAUGAAUAACGUGAAUGUUUUUGUUUUUAAUGUUUUGUUUAUAUACCCACAGGUUUUAUAUUACAUUGUUUUGUGGCAAGGUUUUAUAUACAUAGAAUUAAAUAUAAACGUAAUAUAGAACACAUGACGUAAAUAUAAUUGUAAG